GGGCGAAUGGUCUAGGGGUAUGAUUUCUGUUUCGCACUUUGCGGCGAACUUGCUACUACAGAAGGUCCCGUGUUCGAAUCACGGUUCGUCCA